rnacentral:rRNA from 1 species
UGAAGCCGGAAUUGCUAGUAAUGGCAGGUCAGCAUACUGCCGUGAAUACGUUCCCGGGCCUUGUACACACCGCCCGUCACACCAUGAGAGUUGGGGAUACCCGAAGCCUGUGAGCCAACAGUUAAAUGGGGCAGCAGUCGAAGGUAGAAUCAAUGAUUGGGGUGAAGUCGUAACAAGGUACC